GAUGAACGCUGACAGAAUGCUUAACACAUGCAAGUCUUUGGCGAAGCUGUGCUUGCACAGCCUAGCCAAGGCGGACGGGUGAGUAACGCGUAAGGAACUUGCCCUGCAGUCAGGGAUAACAGACGGAAACGACUGAUAAGACCUGGUAAAGUCAGGCGGACUCAUGUCCAGCCUGAUGAAAAGAGAUGCUGCAGGAGAGCCUUGCGUCCUAUUAGCUUGUUGGUGGGGUAACGGCCCACCAAGGCGAUGAUAGGUAGCCGGCCUGAGAGGGUGGACGGCCACAAGGGGACUGAGAUACGGCCCUUACUCCUACGGGAGGCAGCAGUGGGGAAUAUUGGACAAUGGGGGCAACCCUGAUCCAGCAAUUCGGUGUGCACGAUGAAGGUUUUCGGAUUGUAAAGUGCUUUCAGCAGGGAAGAAAAAAAUGACGGUACCUGCAGAAGAAGCGACGGCUAAAUACGUG
rnacentral:rRNA from 1 species